rnacentral:rRNA from 1 species
UCCGUAGGUGAACCUGCGGAGGGAUCAUUACCAGAGAUGGUGGGCUCCGGUCCCCGUCCCCAACCCUUUGUCUACCAAAACCUUUUGCCUCGGGGGCAGAGCGGCCGCCGCCGCCCCCGGAGGACCACCUAACUCUGUCUCUUUACGUCGGAGUAUUUGAUUGAAUAAGUAAAAACUUUCAACAACGGAUCUCUUGGUUCUGGCAUCGAUGAAGAACGCAGCGAAAUGCGAUAAGUAAUGUGAAUUGCAGAAUUCAGUGAAUCAUCGAAUCUUUGAACGCACAUUGCGCCCUUUGGCAUUCCGAAGGGCAUGCCCGUUCGAGCGUCAUUACACCAAUCAAGCCUGGCUUGGUAUUGGGCGUCGGCCGUCGGCCGCGCCUCUAUUUCCCCGGCUGGACGGUUCAAAUCUCAGCGUUGUGAUAAUCAAUUCGCGGAGCAGGAGGACCGGACGCGCCGUUAAACCUCAUUACAGGUUGACCUCGGAUCGGGUAGGGAUACCCGCUGAACUUAAGCAUAUCAAUAAGCGGAGGA